rnacentral:sRNA from 1 species
CAGCGACAAUAUUUCGAGAAAACACGUC